GUUGGGAAUUUAAGCUUCUCUGCAGUUUGGUCAGUAUGGUAAAAAAAAAAAAAAAUCAGGAACUGAAUAUAGUUUGCCACUAAAAGAGAUAAUUGCCCAACCAUUUCAUUAAUGAGCUCUGGGUAACAUAUGACCCACCAGGGGGUUAAGUGGCCAGUCUUUCUCAUUGUACUCUCAUCAGGCCUGGAUGUAAGUCUGUCGCUGAGGCCUUAACCCGGAAGGUACUGAUUUAAAAAGCAAUGAGUCUUAGCUUAUAGAGGAGGGUGGGUGGUUUGCACUUGUGUUCCCCACCUCUGCUUUAUUUGUGUUGUUCAUUGACUUAGUCAAAAUAUAUUUAUUAUCUUCUGUAGUCCAGGAAUUAUGCUGAACGUAAUUGAUGGAGAUGCUCUUCAUUCAGACUGAUAAACUUAAAGCCACAUCUUCCUGAACAGUGAUGGAGUUAGAAAACGUAGUAGCCAGGCUUCUAUAUCACUGUGGACAGAUGCCUGAAAGAAAUAUUUAAGAGAGUGAAGUCUCAUUUUGGCUCAUGGUAUAAAAAGGCUGAACCCAUAUAUUUGUGCCGAACAUCGGGGCAAUGGAGGUGUUUUCUGGGGCUGUUCUUGAUCACUUGGUAGACAGCAGGCAGAGAAGGCAGAGGGCAGGAGGAGGCCAGAGAAAAGCCCAUCCCUCAAUGCUUCCUCAGGGGCCUUCCUCCAACUAGAUCUCAUAUCCAAGUAAUACAGGCAUAUUAUGAAUCUAUCAAGUGAUGGUCUAUGUUAUUGAUGAGGUAAAAGCCUUCAUGAUCCAGAAAAGUCUUCACAAAUACACCCACAGAUGUGCUCUUUUUUAAUUUCCCAGAUGUUUCUGAAUUUAUUCAAGUCACUCAUCACACACAAAAAGCUCCUUGCUCCAACCCACGCUGUCAAAGGAAUAACUUCUGAGACUAUAGAUUUCAUUUGAAAAUGUAAAUGAAUGAUCCAAAGAUUGUGCAUUUGCAAACUGGCAUAUUAACAAAUAAUCAGAAAGGCUUCGGGUAUAAGCCUUAAAAUUACCCUU
ensembl:sense_overlapping D530037P16Rik RIKEN cDNA D530037P16 gene